rnacentral:rRNA from 1 species
UACAGAGGGUGCGAGCGUUAAUCGGAAUUACUGGGCGUAAAGCGUGCGUAGACGGCUAUCUAAGUCGGGUGUGAAAGCCCCGGGCUCAACCUGGGAAUUGCAUUCGAGACUGAAUAGCUAGGGUGCGGUAGAGGGAAGCGGAAUUUCGGGUGUAGCGGUGAAAUGCGUAGAUAUCCGAAGGAACAUCAGUGGCGAAAGCGACUUCCUGGACCAGAACUGACGAUCAGGCACGAAAGCGUGGGGAGCAA